GAACGCAUCUUGCGCUCCUUGGUAUUCCUAGGAGCAUGCCUGUUUGAGUGUCAUUUCAACCAUCAAGCCCUAGGCUUGUGUUGGGGCCCUGCGGCCGUCCGCAGCCCCCUAAAAACAGUGGCGGGCUCGCUAUAUACCGAGUGCAGUAGUUUACUCUUCGCUCAGGACAUGUAGAGGGUUCUUGCCGUAAAACCCCCCAUUUUUUAAGGUUGACCUCGGAUCAGGUAGGAAUACCCGCUGAACUUAAG
rnacentral:misc_RNA from 1 species